rnacentral:snRNA from 1 species
AUCGCUUCUCAGCCUUUUGGCUAAGAUCAAACGUAGUAUCUCUUCUUAUCAGUUUAAUAUCUGAUACAUCCUCUAUCCGAGGACAAUAUAUUAAAUAUAUUUUUGGAGUUGGGAGAUGGAAUAGGAGCUUGCUCAAAAAAAAAAAAAAAAUUUGUGAAGGUCUUUUUUCCCUUUC